GAUUAACGCUAGCGGCAGGCCUAAUACAUGCAAGUCGAACGGCAGCACGGGUAGCAAUACCUGGUGGCGAGUGGCGCACGGGUGCGUAACGCGUAUGCAACCUACCUAUAACUGGGGAAUAGCCUUCUGAAAGGAAGAUUAACACCGCAUAAUAUCACGAGACGGCAUCGCCUUGUGAUCAAAUCUCCGGAGGUUAUAGAUGGGCAUGCGUGACAUUAGCUAGUUGGUGAGGUAACGGCCCACCAAGGCUACGAUGUCUAGGGGGUCUGAGAGGAUGAUCCCCCACACUGGUACUGAGACACGGACCAGACUCCUACGGGAGGCAGCAGUAAGGAAUAUUGGACAAUGGGCGCAAGCCUGAUCCAGCCAUGCCGCGUGAAGGAUGACGGCCCUCUGGGUUGUAAACUUCUCUUAUACGGGAAUAAACCCCUCGAUUCUUCGAGGGCUGAAUGUACUGUAAGAAUAAGGAUCGGCUAACUUCGUGCCAGCAGCCGCAGUAA
rnacentral:rRNA from 1 species